rnacentral:rRNA from 1 species
AGAGUUUGAUCCCGGCUCAGGAUGAACGCUAGCGACAGGCUUAACACAUGCAAGUCGAGGGGCAGCGGGGUAGUGCUUGCACUACUGCCGGCGACCGGCGCACGGGUGAGUAACACGUAUGGAACCUGCCCGCAGCAGGGGGAUAAGCGGAAGAAAUUCCGUCUAAUACCGCGUAAGAACGUUGGGAGGCAUCUCCCGAUGUUUAAAGAUUUAUCGGCUGCGGAUGGCCAUGCGGCGCAUUAGCUAGUCGGCGGGGUAACGGCCCACCGAGGCGACGAUGCGUAGGGGUUCUGAGAGGAAGGUCCCCCACACUGGUACUGAGACACGGACCAGACUCCUACGGGAGGCAGCAGUGAGGAAUAUUGGUCAAUGGCCGAGAGGCUGAACCAGCCAAGUCGCGUGAGGGAAGACGGCCCUACGGGUUGUAAACCUCUUUUGUCGGGGAGCAAAGCGAACCACGUGUGGUUCAUUGAGAGUACCCGAAGAAAAAGCAUCGGCUAACUCCGUGCCAGCAGCCGCGGUAAUUCGGAGGAUGCGAGCGUUAUCCGGAUUUAUUGGGUUUAAAGGGUGCGCAGGCGGAGGUGCAAGUCAGCGGUCAAAUUGCGGGGCUCAACCCCGUACUGCCGUUGAAACUGCAUCCCUUGAGUGCGCGAGAAGUAUGCGGAAUGCGUGGUGUAGCGGUGAAAUGCAUAGAUAUCACGCAGAACUCCGAUUGCGAAGGCAGCAUACCGGCGCUCAACUGACGCUCAUGCACGAAAGCGUGGGUAUCGAACAGGAUUAGAUACCCUGGUAGUCCACGCAGUAAACGAUGAAUACUAACUGUCCGGGCAGAAUGAUGCCUGGGUGGUACAGCGAAAGCGUUAAGUAUUCCACCUGGGGAGUACGCCGGCAACGGUGAAACUCAAAGGAAUUGACGGGGGCCCGCACAAGCGGAGGAACAUGUGGUUUAAUUCGAUGAUACGCGAGGAACCUUACCCGGGCUCAAACGACGGAUGGAUGUUUCUGAAAGGAGGCAGUCCUACGGGACAUCCGUCGAGGUGCUGCAUGGUUGUCGUCAGCUCGUGCCGUGAGGUGUCGGCUUAAGUGCCAUAACGAGCGCAACCCCCAUCGCCAGUUACCAGCAAGUAAAGUUGGGGACUCUGGCGAGACUGCCGGCGCAAGUUGUGAGGAAGGCGGGGAUGACGUCAAAUCAGCACGGCCCUUACGUCCGGGGCGACACACGUGUUACAAUGGCAGGUACAGAGAGAAGCGAUGCGGCGACGCAGAGCGGAACUUCAAAGCCUGUCUCAGUUCGGAUUGGAGUCUGCAACCCGACUCCAUGAAGCUGGAUUCGCUAGUAAUCGCGCAUCAGCCACGGCGCGGUGAAUACGUUCCCGGGCCUUGCACACACCGCCCGUCAAG